rnacentral:lncRNA from 1 species
ACAACUCAUGCCUCUUGUCCUGGCCUGUUCCUCCAGUCUCUACAGCUGUCACUGAAGUUCAAUCUCCAUUAACAAGUUGUGUUUGUGCUCCCAUGCUCCUGUAUUUAUAAUCAUCUGGCAGAGGCAUAAUAGAUCAGAGGUUAAGAAGCACAGCCUUUGGCAUUAGAAAAACCAAGAUUCAAGGUUCAAUCCUGCUACAUAAAAGCUGUGUAACUUCAGAGUCAUAGGUCGAGAACUUAAAGAAUACCUCACCAUAUCUCUUCACAUAUCCAUGAAGAAACUGAGGUGCAAAGAAGUUAAGUGAUAAACCUGAAGCCACACAGCCAGUUAAAGUUAAGACUUCUAAUAAAAUCCCAAUGGUUAACUUCAGGACCAUAACCAAAGGUAUCCUAGUUGCUACGGGGGGCAACCUUCCACAGGCUACAAUUGCUAUUAAUCCAGACCCAUGUGCACAGCUUCCUUGUGAUUCCCUACACCUUUUUAUGAGAACGUAAUCUCAACUGCCGGAAGUUGCCCUGUUGACCCUGAAAAGGCUGCCAAGUGGGUGUCCCGGAAGCCUACUGAGUACAAGUUUAAUAUUUUCUGUUAAGCAACUCACAGCAUUUAAGCCGCAGUUGUGGAAAUUCUCAAGAAAGCUCAUUCUGUAUGAAUCAAAUUUCUGAAGCGAUUCUCUUCCAGGGAACUGCAAUCAAUCCUGUCCGGACUUCACUUUACAUAGCUCAUUUUUUGAGCCUUCAUCAUACACAACAUUCACUGCAAAAGAUCCAAGGGAGCCACACUUUCUGAAGGAUGCUAUUGUUGCUCAACUGGCAAACUCAAAUUUGGUUUGAAGAGCAUAAGUUUUAAUUUUCUAGGUUAAAACUUAUUUUUCUUCUCAAGUUCCAUUUAUCAAAGAAAUCGUUUUGUUUUGUUUGUUUAAUCGAAUAACAUCGCAAGUGCAGAAGACUUAGCUGGGAUGGAGGUUGGGGGAGUGUCCUUGCCUGUUUCAGGGAACCAAUAAAGGACAUCUCAAAAACCAAACACAGUACUUAUGAUGUGCCAGGCACUCUUCUGAGGGCUUUACACGAUGUAACUCAUUUAAUCUUGAGAAAACCCCUAAGAGGUAGAUAUUGACAUCAUCCCAUUUUAUAGAUGAGAAUCUGAGGAACAAAUACGUUAGGUAACUGGCCCAAAGUCAUUGUAGCUAAUAAGUCACAAAGCUGGGAGUAUGAACCCGGCAGUUUGUGUUUUUACCACUGUGCUCCACCUAACAUACGUAAUUUGAGAAAAAAAAAAUUAAAACAACCUUUUAGCCUCCAUUUUCUAAGCAUCUCAAGUUAAAGUAGUUGGGGUCUGAGAAAAGUAUUCAGAUAACUGACCCACUAGCUAAAGACUCAGCCAUGUAAUCAUCCAAUAAUUUUCACAAUUUACAGCUUCACAGUUUUACAAAAAAAGAGUCCAAUGUGUGAGCAAAUUUAUAAGCUGCUUAAUCUUGAUUAAAAAAACAAUUAAUUCACUAGCUACCUGUUAUGUGCCAGGCUCUGGAACAAUGCCACGAAUUAGACAUGGCUACUCUAAAAAUUCUCUGUGGAAACAAUAUUUGGACAUAGGAAAAAAAUGUAACAACAAAGGCAAUGAAUGAUUUAUAUCAAACUGAUAGGCUGACAAUAAAUGAAAAAAAACUCUUCUAGAAAUAAUUUGUGCAUUUAGCAUUCCAAAUAUUAAAGAAUAUAAAAACAUCUUAGAAUAACUAAAAGAAAAUGUGAAUUUGUAUUUUUUACUAUAAUUGUGGUGAUAUUUCUUUUCAAAUAUUGUUAUAAUCAAAUGAACACUUUACUAGAUAUCUACUCCAAUUAAAACACUUUGAUAAUGCUUUGUAAAGAAUUGUGAAUUGAAUACCAGAUAAUUAUUUCCUUUGUUACUCAAUAACAACUUCUAUUAAAGUUUUUAUGCUAGUGGGAAUGUAAACUAAUACAACCACUAUGGAAGAC